AAAGUGAGCCGGGCAAUCGCAAGUGAUCGGUUAAGAUCACUUGAGGAAAGUCCGGGCACCACAGGGCAGGAUGCCAGCUAACGGCUGGUCAGCGCGAGCUGAAGGAAAGUGCCACAGAAACAUAGACCGCCGAUGGUUGCCUGUGGUGGGCAGAUUGCCUCCUCGGCCAACCGCCCAUCCACGGGCUUCACAGGCAAGGGUGGAAGCGUGAGGUAAGAGCUCACGAGGUCAACAGGCAACUGUUGACCUGGUAAACCCCAUCCGGUGCAAGACCAAAUAGGGAGUAGUUGACCAUUGUGUCAACCGCUUUGGCCCGAAGCGUCCCGUGGUUGGUCGCUUGAGCUAUACAGCGAUGUAUAGCCUAGAUAGAUGAUUGCCACUCCAUGGUGUGGGAGGCUGAAGCCGUCAUACCACCAGGAGGACAGAACCCGGCUUACAGGCUCACUUUCAUC
rnacentral:RNase_P_RNA from 2 species